AUUUUCAAUUUAAAACAGGAAAAUUUGUUUUAUAAUUCCAGUCGGACUUUCACUUCUCUCAAAUACAUCCGAAAAAAAAAAAUGGUUCCAGUGAAGACACGAGCUGUAAGGAAUAAUAAGGAAUAAUCCGUCGUAGGUCGUUGACAUCUCUCAACAAUCAAUUAUAGUCAUUAGAUCUGUCUGUGGCAGUAGCUGUAUAGUUUUUAUCGUAAACCUUGGACCGUUUGAGAUCCUCAGAAGACGUUACAUACAGGUCAAAGGGUUAUUAGAGCAAGUGAACCGACUUCCGUCUCUGAUACGUUUCAAUUAUUUGUACAAUAAUUUUCCAGGGGACUAACCAACUCCAUUACUGGCAUUUGAAUAAUUAUUCAAGUGGAUCACUCGUAUUUAUUCCAAGGAAACUGAAUCCUUCGGUUUAACUAUUCAGAGAUGAUCCGCAUUAAUUAUCUGAGCUCCAGCGAACGCCCACGGACUGAUUCAGAGACCCAGAAAUUAAUCUACCAGCUCGUGGAAUAAAAAGUGUCGUGAAGUGAGAAUAAGCUCAAUGUUUAGUGCAGAGUUCGCAAUAAGAUCCGGGAAUGGAUGUUACCGUUAUUGAAAAACAGUUCAACAUUUCCAAACGGUUCUUCGAAAUUUUCCUUCAAUAUUCAACUGAACGAAUUCCAAAAAUCCCAUUUAAAUCGCAACUUUAAAAUUCUGCGAUAUCCCCAGGAAUCAACGAAUAAUUAUUUAUUUUAACGCGCAACUCCUGUUAUCGGAAUUGUCGGUUCUAGAAAUGUCACCAGUAA